rnacentral:rRNA from 1 species
GUUGAACGCUGGCGGCAGGCCUAACACAUGCAAGUCGAGCGGAGCGGCGGACGGGUGGGUAAUGCCUAGGAAUCUGCCUGGUAGUGUGGGAUAACGUCCGGAAACGGGCGCUAAUAACACAUCCUAUCAGAUGCGCCUAGGUCGGAUUAGCUAGUUGUGUGGGUAAAGGCCUACCAAGACGACGAUCCGUACCUGGUCUGAGAGGAUGAUCAGUCACACUGGAACUGAGACACGGCCCAGACUCCUACGGGAGGCAGCAGUGGGGAAUAUUUGACAAUGGGCGAAAGCCUGACCCAGCCAUGCCGCGUGUGUGAAGAAGGUCUUCGGAUUGUAAAGCACUGUAAGUUGGGAAGCGUUACCAACAGAAUAAGCACCGGCUAACUUCGUGCCAGCAGCCGCGGUAAUUC